rnacentral:rRNA from 1 species
UGGGGAAUCUUCCGCAAUGGGCGAAAGCCUGACGGAGCAACGCCGCGUGAAUGAAGAAGGCCUUCGGGUCGUAAAGUUCUGUCUUUUGGGAAGAAGGCCCUUGAGGUAAAUAAUCUUGAGGGAUGACAGUACCAGAGGAGGAAGCUCCGGCUAACUACGUGCCAGCAGCCGCGGUAAUACGUAGGGAGCGAGCGUUGUCCGGAAUUACUGGGCGUAAAGGGCGCGUAGGCGGGUAGUUAAGUCAGAUGUGAACGCCCCGGGCUUAACUCGGGGAUUGCAUUUGAAACUGGGUAUCUUGAGGGCAGGAGAGGAAAGUGGAAUUCCUAGUGUAGCGGUGGAAUGCGUAGAUAUUAGGAGGAACACCAGUGGCGAAGGCGACUUUCUGGACUGUACCUGACGCUGAGGCGCGAAAGCAUGGGGAGCAAACG